AGCCGCCCGUCUUUAAUUGAAGAUUAAUUGUAUUUACAAUAGAGAUGAAGAGCAGAGAUAAGUUACAUUGUCAAGAGAGUAGAGGAACAGAUGCGAGAAAAAGAAGCUAAAUGGUUCCAAACUAAGUGCCUGAUAAUCAGGACAGAAAAUAUUGAUGCUCGUAAGAAGAAGCAAUAGAAGGAAGAGCCUUAUCCAGACCAAUAAGCAGGAGCAUUCAUUGCUUGAAAAGUUCCAAACAAUUUCACAAAGAUUUAUAAGGAAAAAGCACCAGAAUCCAGAAUGGCCACAAGUUCCAAAUUUCAGAGAAAUUUGAGAGAGUUUUUGAAACAAGAAAAUAAUCAAUUUUCCACCACCAAUUUUCAUACCACGUCUGGUGCCUCCUUUGAAGCAUAAUACAAUAUGCUGGAAGGCAUAAGAUGACGAACAAGAGCUGUAGCUGAAUGAACCAAAGUUGCAAUUUUUCAGUCAUUGAAGAAACUGAUUGCAGCUGAGACACAGGUCGAAGGCGGGGCUGAUCUGUUCUGUAGUGUUUUCCUUUCCAGGAUUGCAUGAUAGUUGAACAGUAAGCAAGACAUUUUUUUAUCAAAAUAGGUUUUCUCCUGCAUUUUUUAUCAAAAAGAUGCAAUGGUUAUUUCAAUCAUUUCUCGAUGGCUUUGAAAUUAGAAGGAUGAUCAUGAAAUCUUUCCCCCUCGUUAAAGAGGAGAGAGUUGGUUCAUUCAUAUUCAAAUGUGUUUUUUUUUUCUUGUACAGAAAGAGAGAUCGAAAGCCCCACUCGU
rnacentral:lncRNA from 1 species